rnacentral:rRNA from 1 species
AUUGAACGCUGGCGGCAUGCCUUACACAUGCAAGUCGAACGGUAACAGGUCUUCGGAUGCUGACAAGUGGCGAACGGGUGAGUAUUACAUCGGAACGUGCCUAGUAGUGGGGGAUAACUACUCGAAAGAGUGGCUAAUACCGCAUGAGAUCUACGGAUGAAAGCAGGGGAUCGCAAGACCUUGUGCUACUAGAGCGGCCGAUGGCAGAUUAGGUAGUUGGUGGGAUAAAAGCUUACCAAGCCGACGAUCCGUAGCUGGUCUGAGAGGACGAUCAGCCACACUGGGACUGAGACACGGCCCAGACUCCUACGGGAGGCAGCAGUGGGGAAUUUGGGACAAUGGGCGCAAGCCUGAUCCAGCAAUGCCGCGUGCAGGAUGAAGGCCUUCGGGUUGUAAACUGCUUUUGUACGGAACGAAAAGCCCUGGGUUAAUACCCUGGGGUCAUGACGGUACCGUAAGAAUAAGCACCGGCUAACUACGUGCCAGCAGCCGCCGUAAUAC